GGCUCAAGUCUGCUAUUACAAUAGUGUCAGAAUGGUCUAUCAUUGAUUUCAAAAUUGUUGAUUUUGACAAGUUUGGUAAUCUACUAUUAUAAUGGUGUCAUUAUGACUUUCCAAUGGUCAACCACUGACAUUCCAUUGAAAGAAAUGGCUUAGAAUGGUAAUCUCGUACAUAAUGACAAAUGAAUGACUGACGUAUGGGGUAAUCUGCUAAAAUUUUGACAGUUCCUUUGAUCAUUGACCUACCAUUGGAUCGUCAUUGUGCAGUCAUUGCUUAUAAUAGCUCGGUUGUCGAAAAGAGUUUGUUAUCUAUCGUGUUUGUAUUGUACUUUGUGAAAUAUUGAGUGGAGAAAUGUAUUCACUACGAGCAAAUAUUCUCGAGCUAGCCGCAGUGGAUGCUAGAGAAAGAAGACGGGCGGAAUGCAAAAGACGUCGUCGAGCCCGUCGCUUGACGAGAAUUAGUACAAACCCCUUUAUUGAUAUUUCCGAGGCGGAAUUUGUAAAAACGUUUCGCCUUGGAAAGGACUCAGUAAGGGGGUUAAUUGAAGAACUCAUUCCCCUUAUGGCCAGACCGCGUCGAAACGAUAGCAUAUCGGCAGAAAUGAAGGUGUUUGCUUGUAGCACGUACUUUACAUUAUAGCCCAACAACUGCAGGCAAGAUUGUGAAUGCAUGUUGCAUAUUGCACAAUAUUGCAAACAUGGCAAGAGCACCGUUGCCACCUGAUGAGGUUUAUGCAGAAGCACUCCGCUUGCAACAGGAGGAAAAUAAUUAUGCAGCACCUAAUUAUCAAGACCAUCGAAGGGUGAACCGGGAUCUUCUUGAAGGUCGGGCACUGCAGCAGGCUCUUGUUGACAGACUGUGGAGAAAUGCAUAAAUUAAAU